CACAGGUAGACACUACACUACCCUACCCACAGGUAGACACUAUACUAUACCCUACCCACAGGUAGACACUACACUACCCUACCCACAGGUAGACACUAUACUAUACCCUACCCACAGGUAGACACUAUACUAUACCCUCCCCACAGGUAGACACUAUACUAUACCCUCCCCACAGGUAGACACUACACUACCCUACCCACAGGUAGACACUAUACUAUGCCCUACCCACAGGUAGACACUAUACUAUACCCUCCCCACAGGUAGACACUACACUACCCUACCCACAGGUAGACACUAUACUAUACCCUACCCACAGGUAGACACUAUACUAUACCCUCCCCACAGGUAGACACUACACUACCCUACCCACAGGUAGACACUAUACUAUACCCUACCCACAGGUAGACACUAUACUAUACCCUACCCACAGGUAGACACUAUACUAUACCCUACCCACAGGUAGACACUAUACUAUACCCUACCCACAGGUAGACACUAUACUAUACUAUACCCACAGGUAGACACUAUACUAUACCCACAGGUAGACACUAUACUAUACCCACAGGUAGACACUAUACUAUACCCACAGGUAGACACUAUACUAUACCCACAGGUAGACACUAUACUAUACCCACAGGUAGACACUAUACUAUACCCACAGGUAGACACUAUACUAUACCCACAGGUAGACACUAUACU